UCCAAUUCGGGGGAAAAAAAAACCCAAAAAUGUAUCAUAAAUUUUUUUAAAAAAUGAGGGAACAAGACCAUAUUUAGUUAUGUGUAAAAUUGUAUAGUAUGCUCAAUUAGCAAGCUGGAUGGUUUAUUAGAGUUGAAAGUAGCUUAAUAACUGAAAAAACUAUAAAGUCAUACAUAGUUCAAGCCAGUUUAAACAUCAAAUCUGGUUUCCCACAACUGAUUAACCUGAACAUGGUUUAGUAUAACACUAAUCCUUUAAUUUAACAAUCUAUAAAUGGCCUCCAUAACAAGUUCCUCAGCGCCCCUUCUUAGAUUCAUAACGAUGAGCCACAUCGCCCACGCAAUCCAGCAUCCGUGUUAAUGAGCACCUCUGGACCUUAACGGAAUAGCCCUGGUCCGCAUGAGCAUCAAUUACAGAGGCAGCGUCUCCAAAGGUGGAAGUGGGCGAUACAUCUGCCGCGGCAUUGCUGCCUCGGUCCACGGGGCUGAAAGGACACCUGUGGGGCCAGAGGGCUUUGCGGGCUAAGUGUGUACCCUCAGGGUCAGCAGCUCCUGGCCCUGUCUGACAUGGAGCUAAGCUGGGGCCUAGGAUGAAAGGAGGAAAUGCCAGUACUUAAUUAUGACUGCAAUGCUAUCGGAGAGGAAAUGCCAAAAGCACAGAAGUGUCUCAGAGCGACGUGGUACCUCCAGUGUAGCUUGUGUGCUUGCUGGUAUUUUUUCCAAGGACAGGCGUAGGGUAUGGGGUCAACCUGCGCCCCUGACAAUGUCUAAUUUUGCAGCGGAGCAAAAAAAAAAAAAUGUUCUGACCUACCUCACUGCAGCAGCUGAUCCCUGCUAACUUGUCUUCAGAGCUCAGCUUGGGCUGACAGAGAAAAGACGCCCACUCACACACAUAGACACCCUGGGAUUCUGCGAGAAAAGAAUGAGAGAGGCAGCUGCUGGGUAGAGCCAACACUUCCUGCCUCUCUCCAGUUUACAGAGCCUAGCUGAGUUCAGGCCCCAUCUGCACAUAACUGCACAUUAAAGGGAGAGCACCAAGGAGAAAGAGGAAGGAGGCUACGGUGUUACAGGGGGCAGGGGCGGGGAACUACAGUCAGAAAGACUGUUAUUGCUAGGCAACAUCAGUUACCUUUCUUAUCACAGAGACAAACUAUCGGACACUAGGCACACACAGCUGAGGGGAAGGUGAAGACCUCAAUUGUGGGCCAAAGGUUUGGCUCACUCGUCUGCUGCUGCGAGAGAGGAGAAGAAAUAGCUUGUAACUUAUUCAAGGAAUAAGAUAAGCGCAAGCAUUUGUCUGAUAAGGUGCUAAUCUCAAACACGUUUUCUGCCCCGAUGCAGGGCUGCGGGGCACCCAUUUGAUUAAUGCCACCAAUCACUCCAGCGUCUCUGGGUGAGUGCCUCUGUCCUCCUCUUCACCUUCCAGGCCAUGGAUCCCCAACAAGAUAAAGAACUCUUAGGCAGCGAGACAGCUGCCUAGGGUCCUGGAAAUCCAAGCGGGGGAGCGGGGUACUCCUUACCCACAACACACGUUUCCAGGCACCGGAGCAGCAGCCUGCAGUACUACAGUCUGCGAAGGAGGCACAAUUCAGAAAUCCAUGCAAAACUAAUUGAGGGCAGGUUGCUCUACCAGGCCCCAUCAAUCACUCAGCGCUGCCACUCUGCCCCCAGUGUGAUGACAGCAUGUCGGCUGCUCCCAACGCUAUCUACCGCGAGGUCUGCGCACCGCACUUGCUGCUAUUUGGAGAUGGCUAGAUAGUGGUGACAGCCCGUUAACCAUGAAAAAUGGGAGCUCGGGACUGGAGGGGGCUGAGUACCUCUGAAUGUACUUGCAAAGGCACAAGACUGUUAGCACAGUUGUGUUGAGAACUUGAACAUUUCCUCCCAGAUCAGACGGAGUUGUCAACCUCGGAACUUUUACAUAAGAGAGAGAAGGAGGGCUGGGAUGCAGGGCUGGUAGAGUGUUCGCCUAGCAGGCAUGCCUCGUGAAGUAUUUGGGUUCAAACCCAGCACCACGUAAACCUGACAAGGUAGCAUAGGCAGGAUGCGGAGGCAGGAGGAUAAGUUCCAGAUCAUUCUGGGUCACAUGGGGAGCACGAGACCCUGUGUCCCAAACAACAAAGAGCAUUAGAAUCGUGCAUAGCUAAGAGCUACCCUACCUGCUGUAUUAUGAAAAACAGCAAGUGUAAGAAGACAUUCAUUGGACCAGAUGGCCCAGUUCUAGGUCCUUCUGCAUUUAAUCCUCUUCUCCACAUGAAAUAUCUAGUUCAGCUUAUUGGAAAUUCUCUGCUAAAGGCCCUUCUUCCAUCUGAGGAUGUUCACACCAAUAUUAGUAACUACAAUUUACUGACUUUCGUGUGUAUACUUUUAUGUCGUGUAUAUCCAAGGCAACAUCAGAUUUUAGCUACAAGAACCCCAAGUAUGAACUAUUUUUGGCAGCUGGAUGAGUAAACUCAGUCAACAAGGAAAACAAACAUGCUGCCUUACAAGUUCCCAAAAGAAGAAGAAUUGAGACAUGAACCCAGGGCCCUCUGCUCCCCAAGUCCAUGGACAUGAUCAGUAAGCAAUGAUAACGGUGGACAAUACCUAAAGCCUACUUUGCACUGGGCACAUGAAGAUCCAGAAGGGCUGGCCAUAGCCUCAAUCACUAGGAGAGUCUCAUAAACAUGAGGGUCUUGGUAGGAUGCUGCCUCUUGCAGGUCCGGGACACGUGCUUUCAGAGGGCAUACUGCAUGGCUACUAUAAUGUAUGGGACUACCUUCUUGCCAGGGUCUCUGUUCCUAAGAUACAGAACAGUGCUGAGAAUACUUCCCUACCUAAAAACGCAUGAAGAACUGAUGCUCUCCCUUCAGUAAAGCGAUUACCUUACAAAUAUGAGGCCAUGAGUUUGCUGGAUACCCAGAAUCCAGGAAAAAGCCAGCCAUGGUGACACGCCCUCUUAACUCGAACAGUCACAGGAUGGAUGGAAGAUACAGGUAGAUCCCUGGAGUUUCCUCAUCGGCUAGCCUCACUGGCUUGGUGCAGUUCCAGACCAAUGAGCAAGCCCAUCUCAAGCAAAAGGUGGAACGGAUGUGAGAAACGACACAAAGGCUGUCCUCUACACACAUGCACCAUGUGCUAACGUGCAUUUGUACCUGAACAUACCACACACACACACACACACACACACACACACACACAUGCACGCACACACGCCUGGACAACGCUCACUAAAGUCUGUUUACCUCCAUACAGAUCUGUGAAGGCCAUGAAGGAAUGUGCUCUGCAAGGAAGUAUAAAGGAAGAGAUGCUAGUUCACAUUAAAGACGUUAAAUCCGGCUGAUGCAUCUAUUAAAGGAACUGUUUGUUGCCAUA